GAGCGAGAAAAGGGGGGCAACUCCCUGAGUACAGCGGCGCACGGGUGAGUAACACGUGGGUAAUCUGCCCUGGAGUGGGGAAUAACACCGGGAAACCGGUGCUAAUACCGCAUACGAUAGCGAGGUCUGCGGACUUUGUUAUGAAAGGAGCAAUUCGCUCUAGGAGGAGCCCGCGGCUGAUUAGCUAGUUGGUGAGGUAACGGCUCACCAAGGCUACGAUCAGUAUCCGGUCUGAGAGGACGGUCGGACACACUGGAACUGAGACACGGUCCAGACUCCUACGGGAGGCAGCAGUGGGGAAUUUUUCGCAAUGGGGGCAACCCUGACGAAGCAACGCCGCGUGGGUGAUGAAGUCUCUUGGGACGUAAAACCCUUUCGACGGGGAAGAAACCGCAAGGUUGACGGUACCCGUAGAAGAAGCCCCGGCUAACUCCGUG
rnacentral:rRNA from 1 species